ensembl:lncRNA LINC03022 long intergenic non-protein coding RNA 3022
AGGAUGGAGCUGGGGGCGAGAGGCUCGGAGUGGGAGGACUCCCCAGCCAGCUGUGCUCCUAUAAGAGGCAGCGUUUCAGCUUCCUGAACCUGUCAGGACAAAAUAGCUGGAAGCGCACUCUAGAAAUAGCCUUGGGGAAUGAGAAGGACUCAGGCUGCUGUUCCAAACCGCUCAAGUGAAACAGCAGACAGGGCACUGGCUGUGGGAACUUAGCAGAGUCCCUUAGCUUUGUGCCUCUGAUGACUCCCCUGUAAAAUGUGGAUGAUGAUAGCACAGCACUAUGUGGUUGAGAGGAGUAAUGAGCUAAUCCGUGUAUCCAAGCACAGGCCAUGGCAAAUACCAAGCCCACGAUUCUAAUUCUCCCAUUUCAUCUCUACUAAUGUCUUCCUGCAAAGGAAGGCACUUUGGCCAGCAGUUUCUAUGAACAAGACACGUCCAAAGUACAGAUCCAUGCCUGGAUCAGCUGCAGGGUGGCUUUUGGUGGUGCCAUUCUUUCAUUUCUUUGUUCAUGAGGUCAUCCAGAGCUCUUUGGAGCAUUUUCUACUUGCUGGGCUUGGAGGACAAUGCAAAGAUGAACAAUAGAUGUUCUCUGUCUCUUUGAAGGUCAUAAUCAUCUGGAGAGACACAUUGGCAGAGAGACUACCUUAAUACAAUGGGGGAGAGCCCCAUGUGAAGACUGGAGUUGUGCUGCCACAAGCCAAGAAUGUACCAGAAGCCAGGAGGGAGAAGUGGAACAGAUCCUUCCUAGCACUUUCAGAGGGAGCCCGGUCCUCCUAACAUUGGGAUUUUGGAUUUCUGGCCUCCAGAGCUCCUGACAAUAUUUCUGUUGUUCUAAGCCACACAGUUUGUGGAACUUUGUUACAGCAACUCUGAAACUCAAGCCGCAUUCUAUCUGGGCAAAAAAUAUGUGCAAAGGUACAGAGGUGUACGGGAACUGCGGGAACUUCUGAGUUAAGUCAGAAUUGUUGUUUUGGUGGUUCAAAAAUAGGAGAACAUUGACAAAUUUGCAUGGUUCAAGUUAAGCUAUCAAGUUGGAAUAAUGUACCAGGUUGAGUGGUAGAUGGGGGGGAUCAGUUUACUGAAUAAAGCUCCAGUUGGAAUAAA